rnacentral:rRNA from 1 species
UCGAGGGGCAGCAUGGUCUUAGCUUGCUAAGGCCGAUGGCGACCGGCGCACGCGCUGAGUAACACGUAUCCAACCUGCCGUCUACUCUUGGACAGCCUUCUGAAAGGAAGAUUAAUACAAGAUGGCAUCAUGAGUCCGCAUGUUCACAUGAUUAAAGGUAUUCCGGUAGACGAUGGGGAUGCGUUCCAUUAGAUAGUAGGCGGGGUAACGGCCCACCUAGUCUUCGAUGGAUAGGGGUUCUGAGAGGAAGGUCCCCCACAUUGGAACUGAGACACGGUCCAAACUCCUACGGGAGGCAGCAGUGAGGAAUAUUGGUCAAUGGGCGAGAGCCUGAACCAGCCAAGUAGCGUGAAGGAUGACUGCCCUAUGGGUUGUAAACUUCUUUUACAAAGGAAUAAAGUCGGGUAUGCAUACCCGUUUGCAUGUACUUUAUGAAUAAGGAUCGGCUAACUCCGUGCCAGCAGCCGCGGUAAUACGGAGGAUCCGAGCGUUAUCCGGAUUUAUUGGGUUUAAAGGGAGCGUAGAUGGAUGUUUAAGUCAGUUGUGAAAGUUUGCG